GGAACACAAUGAAGUUUAUUCGUUCUGCGACGCGCUUUUUGAGCGCUAAGUAGCCAAUCAGGGAGUGGCAAAAGAAAGGAAGAUAUCGCGGAAAGCGGGGCAAUCUUAUCUGUAGAUUACAACGGAGAAUGCGACUAGCACCGCGAAUGUUACAGCUCGGCCAAAGCUACCCUUUUCGGAAGGCGUUCAAGAGGAUGACGCUUCUUGAAAAACUGAAGGCGGGUACAGGAGGGCAACUAGACUGUCUAAGUACAGCACUGAAGCGUGUGCAAGACCAUAUUGUCCUUGCGCUUGGAAAAGACGUUUAGAUGCUCGGUGGCAUAGGCGGGCAAGUUGAGCUGGACAUUGCAAUAAUGGUGUCGCAGCUGGACAUCGCAGCUGGUGACAGCGGACAGCGGAUGGAGCGCACGUCGGUGGUGGCCUUGGCGUCCUGUUUGGUCUGACCGCCGCAUUGGUCAGGUGCUUUGCAGCCGCUGGAGACGGAGGGCCAAGUGAUAAUUGCAGGAGUCAUGAAGGAGAUAGUGGCUGAAUACUGCACCAGGGAGGCCAAUUCCUGUUCUGAAGUGUCUUCAGUUUGCCCGCAUGAUAGAUGCAGUUAGUUAUAGUUGCCGGCUGGCCGUAUCUCUUCCCUCAUUCGGUGCCUGAUAACUCUCAACUUUAGUUUUGUUUUUGUGACGUUGGCUAUCGACC